CCWUARAGUUUGMUCCUGGCUCAKAACKWRYGCUGGCGGCGUGCUUAACACAUGCAAGUCRAACGUGAUUCAKAGCUUGCUCUGAUGAAAGUGGCGCACGGGUGAGUAACGCGUGGAUAACCUGCCCUGGUAUCUGGGAUAACAUCUCGAARGGGGUGCUAAUACCGGAUAAGCCCACGGGUUCUUCGGAAUCUGCGGGAAAAGAAGGCCUCUAUUUAUAAGCUUUCGUAUCAKGAUGGGUCCGCGUACCAUUAGCUAGUUGGUGGGGUAAUGGCCUACCAAGGCGACGAUGGUUAGCUGGUCUGAGAGGAUGAUCASCCACACUGGAACUGARACACGGUCCAGACUCCUACGGGAGGCAGCAGUGGGGAAUUUUGCGCAAUGGGGGAAACCCUGACGC
rnacentral:rRNA from 1 species